AAAAAAAAAAGAAGGAAAAAAGACCCAAACAAAGACGUUCUUUCUUACUUUUCGUCCUUCCUUCUCUGCCUCUAAUUGUGUUGUUUGGUUGCCGAGGCGACAGAUAAUGGUGGCUGGUUUGUGUCGGACCUGCCGUGCAUCUUAACUGCGGAGUGAUACCGUUAAGAAGACGAAGAUGAAGGAAAACAAAGUUUUAGAUCCCUGAUCUAAUGUGAUGAAUGCUGUCUGGAUUGGUGAACCUGCCUGUGUCGUCUUGGCUCACAAACAGGUUCUGACUUCACCUCCUCACUUCCUCCCUCCCAGAGAUGAACUUCCUCUUCUUGCUCAGCUUUGCUGGUUUGCAGUUUUGAAGUGUGCUGCCUCAGCAUUCUGCACGUGGCACCAGCUCACCCCCUUACAAGUUCAAUUCAGUUCUUACUAAAGAUGUUCUGAUUACUGUAGACUUCAAGCAGUCACAAAUCAGAGGAGGGGCCGGGGCCCGGCGGCCGCUGCUGAGGAAGUGCAGCGCGGGGCGGGAGGCCUUCGCCGG